GUGACUUUGAUUUCUAGGUUGUAAGAGCUCCAUUGCAGGUUUGACAAUGUGACCCUUUCAUUCCUUGUGAAGGAAACUGCACGGUUCAAGGGUCUUUGAGGUUUUUACAAGGGCAUUACACCAAACCUUCCUGAAGAAUGUUCUCGUUAGAAGGGAACCAGCCUUCAUCAAAUUGGCCAUCUGUGGGUAAAGUUGACAUACAUGGUUUGCAGAUUAAAUAUAGGCCUGAUGCACUUGUUCUGAGGGGGAUCAGUUGCACAUUUGAGGAAGGGCACAAAAUAGGUAUUGUUGGCAGAACUGGCAGUGGGAAGACCACUCUCAUAGGUGCUCUAUUUCGUCCAGUGGAGCCAGCUAGAGGGAAGAUAUAGU